GCCGGCUGCGGACGCGGGAAGGGAGAUGGUGGUGACUGACGGAGCUGGGUGAAGCUUCUGCAGAUGGCCUCCCCUCUCUGCGAGUGGUUCCUUAUCGAGGCAAUGGAGAUGUGGACUGCGGUGACUCUGAUCAAGCCUCACAUAUCUAUUGAAUCAGGAACCCCGAAGUCCUGAGGCCUCCCGAGUGGCCCCAUGGGAGCGUCGUGCAUUUUUCUGGGCCCGAUGACGAUGCUGGCCUGGCGGGGGACUUGGCUGACCCGGCCUCCGCACAGGUGGACUAGUUCACAGAGCUUGGCCACUGGGGGGCUGCUGGCAGGCGAGACAAACAUCACUGGCUGGUCGGCAAAGAGGGUUCCGCGCAUAAUAAAUACCGAGCCUCAGCAGCUUUCAUGUGCCUUGCAGGAGACAGUGGCAGCAGGGGCAAAUGAUUCUUCCUGGAUGGUGACUUUAACAAAGACUUCUUCUGGGGGGCACCGAUCUCCACCUGGCCAUGUCUUCAAGCCCAAGGAGAAGUCCCAGGAUGGGUCUGAGCUAAUCACGGUGAUCGCAAUACAAAUGACUGCGCUAAGCAUGGCACAGCUGGCCUCAAUCCUGGCCAAUGCAACCUGAGAAUCAACUGCUGGUGGGAUUCUGGGGGAGUUUUUCUCACUGUUAUAAACAGAUGCAUAAGCAGAAAUACUUCUCUUUGCUGGACACUGUCAUGUCUAAUGUGACGCCUGGAUCACUGAAGCCCCCAGAGGCCACGGGACACGCUGAAAAUGGCCCAGUGGGAAGGCGGAAAGCCUUGGGUCCUGAAAAACACUUCUAAGUCACUGACAGACCAAACUGAAAUCAUCCUUUAUUUUGUUCUUUUCAUGUCAGAAAAAAAGACCCCUAAAUUCUUUAAGUGACUUUUUUGUUAAGUUUUUGUUUCUAGAAGCCCAAAAUAUCCUAAUAAUAA
rnacentral:lncRNA from 1 species